GACAGAGGGUGCAAACGUUGUUCGGAAUUACUGGGCGUAAAGCGCGUGUAGGCGGCUAAGUAAGUCGGGCGUGAAAUCCCACAGCUCAACCGUGGAAGUGCACUCGAAACUGCGUAGCUAGAGUCCUGGAGAGGAAGGUGGAAUGCUUGGUGUAGAGGUGAAAUUCGUAGAUAUCAAGCGGAACACCGGUGGCGAAGGCGGCCUUCUGGACAGUGACUGACGCUGAGACGCGAAAGCGUGGGGAGCAAACAGG
rnacentral:rRNA from 1 species